rnacentral:rRNA from 1 species
AUUGAACGCUGGCGGCAGGCCUAACACAUGCAAGUCGAGCGGCAGCGGUAAAGUAGCUUGCUACUUUUGCCGGCUAGCGGCGGACGGGUGAGUAAUGCCUGGGAAAUUGCCCAGUCGAGGGGGAUAACAGUUGGAAACGACUGCUAAUACCGCAUACGCCCUACGGGGGAAAGCAGGGGACCUUCGGGCCUUGCGCGAUCGGCUAUGCCCAGGUGGGAUUCGCUAGCUGGUGAGGUAAUGGCUCACCAAGGCGACGAUCCCGAGCUGGUCUGAGAGGAGGAGCAGCCACGAUAGAACGGAGACACGGUCCAGACAUCUACGGGAGGCAGCAGUGGGGAACAUUGCACAAUGGGGGAAACCCUGAUGCAGCCAUGCAGCGUGUGUGAAGAAGGCCUUCGGGUUGUAAAGCACUUUCAGCGAGGAGGAAAGGUUGAUGUCUAAUACGUAUCAACUGUGACGUUACUCGCAGAAGAAGCACCGGCUAACUCCGUGCCAGCCGCCGCGGUAAGAC